rnacentral:rRNA from 1 species
UACGUAGGCAGCAAGCGUUGUUCGGAAUUACUGGGCGUAAAGAGUGUGUAGGCGGUGCUCUAAGUUCGGUGUGAAAUCUCCCGCUUAACUGGGAGGGUGCGCCGGAAACUGGAGUGCUCGAGCGUGGGAGAGGAAAGCGGAAUUCCUGGUGUAGCGGUGAAAUGCGUAGAUAUCGGGAGGAACACCUGCGGCGAAGGCGGCUUCCUGGACUGCAACUGACGCUGAGGCGCGAAAGCUAGGGGAGCAAACAGG